GACGAACCGAGCGAACGUUAUUCGGAAUCACUGGGCUUAAAGGGCGCGUAGGCGGGCCAUCAAGUCAGGGGUGAAAGCCCCCAGCUCAACUGGGGAAGUGCCUUUGAUACUGGUGGUCUCGAGGGGGAUAGGGGCGUGCGGAACUUCCGGUGGAGCGGUGAAAUGCGUAGAUAUCGGAAGGAACACCGGUGGCGAAGGCGGCUUCCUGGACCGACACUGACGCUGAGGCGCGAAAGCUAGGGGAGCAAACAGG
rnacentral:rRNA from 1 species